rnacentral:lncRNA from 1 species
UGGAAACACCAUUUUUUAAUCUUUCAAGAACCAUUACUCUGAACAGUAAAAGUCAAAAUCGUCAUUUUUGAACUUGACCUCACUUUUGUCAUCAAUAACAACAUAUUAAAAUUUGGGAAGCUUUGGUUGAACAGUUCAUGCGCAAAUGCACAGACACGACUUGAAACGCCAUUUUUCAAUCUUUCAAGAACCAUAACUCCUGAACGGUAAAAGUCAAAAUCGUCAUUAUUGAACCUGACCUUCAUUUUGUUGUCAGUAACAACAUAUUGAAAUUUUAAAAGCUUUGGUUGAACGGUUCAUGAGUAAAUGCACGGACAACAUUUUGUUGCCGCCAGACUGCCGUACAUCCCUGAAUCAAUAACCGACAUUUUUGUCACAAAAAUCCGGUUAAAAACCAAAGUGUUUUAUGAUGUAAAUUGUACGUCAUAGCUAGCAGCUCCAACAGAAAUCUUCAUUUAGAUCACCAUUGUCAUCCAAAAUACAACUGACUGCAAAUUAAAUUGUGAAAUCAAGCAUCUGCACCUAAUGUUUUGUUUUAAUUACAAGUAUUCAUUAUGGGCGGGUAUCAGGAUUUACACUUUAAUGAAUGUGUGGAACAUUGCUAAGUUUUUAUGUUUUUUUAAGCUUUUUGUUUUUUAGGUUUCUAUGGACUUGAAACAGUAGAUUUUCUUAUGUUUGUAAGCUUAAAAUUUUGUUUGAUUUACUGAUUUAGUUUUUUUAAUAUACCUGAAAACAAACAUGACUCAUAUACUUUUCAUGAAUUUUGGUUGUGACAUUGUUAUCAUUGAAUGUAUUAGUGCAGCAUAUGAUGAAUACAGGUAAAGCACAAAUCCAAUAAAAUUUAUAUUUUUUCAUCAAUAUCACUUAAGUCAUGUUAGUUGUAUCAAAAUAUUAUUUUGGUAUAAUUUUACUGUUGUGAAUUUUAC